AACAGGAUUAGAUACCCUGGUAGUCCACGCCGUAAACGAUGUCGACUUGGAGGUUGUUCCCUUGAGGAGUGGCUUCCGGAGCUAACGCGUUAAGUCGACCGCCUGGGGAGUACGGCCGCAAGGUUAAAACUCAAAUGAAUUGACGGGGGCCCGCACAAGCGGUGGAGCAUGUGGUUUAAUUCGAUGCAACGCGAAGAACCUUACCUACUCUUGACAUCCAGAGAACUUAGCAGAGAUGCUUUGGUGCCUUCGGGAACUCUGAGACAGGUGCUGCAUGGCUGUCGUCAGCUCGUGUUGUGAAAUGUUGGGUUAAGUCCCGCAACGAGCGCAACCCUUAUCCUUUGUUGUCAGCGAUUCGGUCGGGAACUCAAAGGAGACUGCCGGUGAUAAACCGGAGGAAGGUGGGGAUGACGUCAAGUCAUCAUGGCCCUUACGAGUAGGGCUACACACGUGCUACAAUGGCGCAUACAAAGAGAAGCGACCUCGCGAGAGCAAGCGGACCUCAUAAAGUGCGUCGUAGUCCGGAUCGGAGUCUGCAACUCGACUCCGUGAAGUCGGAAUCGCUAGUAAUCGUGGAUCAGAAUGCCACGGUGAAUACGUUCCCGGGCCUUGUACACACCGCCCGUCACACCAUGGGAGUGGGUUGCAAAAGAAGUAGGUAGCUUAACCUUCGGGAGGGCGCUUACCACUUUGUGAUUCAUGACUGGGGUGAAGUGGUAACAAGGU
rnacentral:rRNA from 1 species